rnacentral:rRNA from 1 species
UACGUAGGGUGCGAGCGUUAAUCGGAAUUACUGGGCGUAAAGCGUGCGCAGGUGGUCAUGCAAGACAGAUGUGAAAUCCCCGGGCUUAACCUGGGAACUGCAUUUGUGACUGCACGGCUAGAGUGCGGCAGAGGGGGAUGGAAUUCCGCGUGUAGCAGUGAAAUGCGUAGAUAUGCGGAGGAACACCGAUGGCGAAGGCAAUCCCUGGGCCUGCACUGACGCUCAUGCACGAAAGCGUGGGGAGCAAACAGG